rnacentral:rRNA from 1 species
CACGUAGGGGGCGAGCGUUGUCCGGAUUUAUUGGGCGUAAAGAGCUCGUAGGCGGCUCGGUAAGUCGGGUGUGAAACCUCCAGGCUCAACCUGGAGACGCCACCUGAUACUGCUGUGGCUAGAGUCCGGUAGGGGAGUGUGGAACUCCUGGUGUAGCGGUGAAAUGCGCAGAUAUCGGGAAGAACACCAGCGGCGAAGGCGGCACUCUGGGCCGGAACUGACGCUGAGGAGCGAAAGCGUGGGUAGCAAACAGG